rnacentral:lncRNA from 1 species
AUGAGUGCAAAUGAGACAACUCUCCAUCCAAGUCACAUUUUACUCCAUAUGACAUUGUAUGGAGUGUAACGAAAUCAGUUUUCUUGUAUUUUCUUAUUUGACUGUGAUAACAUUCAACUCUAAAUAGAUAUAGGAAGAUGUGGUAUGAGUGUCAAUGAGACAACUCUCCAUCCAGAUAACAAUUUAUAAAAGUAAACCGUUUACUAAGCAAACACUGAGCUAGAAUUUAAAAAAAAAAAGGAACACGAUUUCUCUUUUCCGCCGGAGUGAUCUGUGCUUAUCAAAUAAAACAAUCAAUGUUUUGAAGGACUGAAUCCUAUCAAUAUGUCCUUGUUUUAAUCCGAUUACAUUUAUAUAACCCGGUCAAUACAGAUGAUAACAUCACGUUACAUUCUGAACUUGGUGACCCUUAGGUAUUAAAUAAAUGUCACAUGAUUAUCAAUAUGUUAGUACAAAACACGACCUUACAUUAGUCCAUCUGUUGACAUCGAAGAAAGAGUAAAUAACGGUUAUGAGUAAAUAACGGUAUAACCAAUCAUAUUGUCCUACCGUGGCAAACAGACGGACGGACAUCGUAUCAGAUAUUGAAUGGUUGAGAAGUCAAUAACGCAAUGAUGAGCAGAUAGACAUGCACUAUUUUUUUUUUUUUUUUUUUUAUUUUGGCUAUAAGAUCUCGAUGCUUUCUUAAUCAAUCCGCAAUCAUUGCUUGAGGGUCUGCAUAUAGAUGGGCUUUACAGAAAAGAAAAUACUUGUAAAAGAAAAAUGCUGAAAAAUGCAAACAAAUAUAAAGAAGAGAACAAAUAUGCCGACAUAUCAACAACAAAGAAUAAUGGGGGCCGGCUAAGGUACCUACAAACAAUAGAAAAUAUGGCACUAUUUCAAAUAAAGACGCUCUUGAAUGUAACCAACCAUUCAUCUGGUGGAUAAAACAUAUGAUAUUAAUAAUAAAAUGGUUAAUUUUGAAGAAAAGACAGUACAAGAAAUGGGGAUAAAAACGACUUAUAUGGAGGAAAAGACAGUACAAUAAAUGGGGAUAAAAACGACUAGUAUGACUGAGGAAAGACGGUGCAAGAAAGGGAACAAAAAACGAAUAAUAUUAGAAGAAAAGACAGUGGAAAAAAUGCACUUGGACAGCACAUUAAUUGAAGAAGGAAAAACAGAGAGAAAUUUAAGACAUACAUAAAAAAAACAGUACAUAAUUAUAUAUGUACUCGUUGAAAAGUAAGGGUCGCAACAAAAUCUGAAGAGAACAUAGACCCAUGAUUUGUAUAAACGAGAAAACUAACAUGCACGCGUUCCAACAUCAAUCCAAAUUCCGAUAGCAAAAAAAAAAAUCUUAUUUAUUACUAUAGCUAUAAAAUGCUAAAAUGUUUAAAUUUAUGAAUGUAUCGGCAUUGAAUUUCGUUGCAGGUGCUUCAACAUAUGUUCCAAUGUUGUUGUUGGAAAGGGUGUAACUAGAUUUACA